UUUUCUUUUCCCUACCACUAAUCUUUUUCCCUACCACUACUCCUACCUCUCCACCACACUACUCCUUUUCCCCCACCACUACAUUCUUUCUCCCACUCUCACAACUUUUCUCCCACCAUUAUCACACUCCAUAGAAGCCUUUGAAGCCCCAAGAGAAGUAGCAAAGCAAGGGAGAGUGUGGGAAAACUAUAGAGUGAAGGUUGUGCUUCGAGGGUCCGGGCGAUAGAAAGUGAAGCCGAAGAAGAAACGACUCCACGCCAGCUUUAAGAACAAUUGAGGUUGAGCAGGCGAUGGAAUGGAUCGGUGUUGAGCGGAUUUCCCUUUUGAUGUUUAUGUAAUGAAACCUUGAGUAUGCAUCUCCAUAUGCAUAACUCACACGUUUUUUCGCUGCAAACACUCUGACUUAUUUAUCAUUUCUACUUGAACUUAUUACUACUUCAUUUUAAUUAACUUUCAGUUGGGGUCUAGUCGUUAUGGCAGACUCAUUUGUGAAUUACCCAAGUGGUUAUAUAUAUAUACCACUAGUUUGUUAUUAA